AUUGAACGCUGGCGGCAGGCUUAACACAUGCAAGUCGAACGAGUGGCGGACGGGUGAGUAAUGCUUGGGAAUCUAGCUUAUGGAGGGGGAUAACUACGGGAAACUGUAGCUAAUACCGCAUACCCUAGGAUGCGCCCAAGUGGGAUUAGGUAGUUGGUGGGGUAAAGGCUCACCAAGCCGACGAUCUCUAGCUGGUCUGAGAGGAUGACCAGCCACACUGGGACUGAGACACGGCCCAGACUCCUACGGGAGGCAGCAGUGGGGAAUAUUGCGCAAUGGGGGCAAGCUGAUGCAGCCAUGCCGCGUGAAUGAAGAAGGCCUUCGGGUUGUAAAGUUCUUUCGGUAGGGAGGCGUUAACUACAGAAGAAGCACCGGCUAACUCCGUGCCAGCAGCCGCGGUAAUUC
rnacentral:rRNA from 1 species